UACGUAGGGUGCGAGCGUUGUCCGGAAUUACUGGGCGUAAAGAGCUCGUAGGUGGUUUGUCGCGUUGUUCGUGAAAACUCACAGCUUAACUGUGGGCGUGCGGGCGAUACGGGCAGACUGGAGUACUGCAGGGGAGACUGGAAUUCCUGGUGUAGCGGUGGAAUGCGCAGAUAUCAGGAGGAACACCGGUGGCGAAGGCGGGUCUCUGGGCCGUAACUGACGCUGAGGAGCGAAAGCGUGGGGAGCGAACAGG
rnacentral:rRNA from 1 species